GGUUCAUUGCGAUCCCAAGGUUCACUGCGGUUUUCCACAAGAUGCAGAAUCUUUUGACAUAUGAAUUCAUCUUGACUAAGGAACUCUUCACAGCACUGCAGCUAAACAGUCACAACCUCACAGAGCUGCACAACUGCCCCACUCAGAUCAGUGUUGAAGCUGGAACCUCAUCUUGUGUACAGCAAAGGCAGAGCUGAAAAUUCACUGUUUGUCUUGUAUUGUGUGUGGCAAAACCUGGAAUAACACAUGGGAGCCCUCCAGGAAUUCCUGACACUUUACGCCCAAGUCUCCUCAUGCUAACCGGAUUGCAAUAUGACAGUCUAGUCAGCAUAAACACCUGGACUCACCAAGCACACUUUGGUUCUCAGUGUUUUGUAAAAAUAGUUUUUGCUAUUCUUCAGUAAAUACUUGAAUAUGUUUUGAACUUAUUCUACUUUUGAUGUUUAAGUUCAGAAAGUUGUUAUUAUAAACAUAAUUUGCAUUUGUCAUGAACUUGACUUCUUGUUGUUGUGAAAGCUGUUUAUUAUGAUGGCAUUUCCAAAGGCAUCAUUUGAAAAGAUUUUUUGCAGUGCAGUUUUACUUGAGCUUGACAUACCAGAUGUAUGACAUGAAUAAAUAUCACAAAAUAAAUAUAAUAAUAAUAAUAAUACAAAAUAUACAUUUCCUUCAAUUAUAAUUGUUUUUAAUCAUUUAUAUAUGUAUGGUAAUAUAUUAUUGCAUUAAAAACUUAUAAAAUAUAUAUUUUUGGUUAAAAUAUAUAUUUUUGCAUUUUUGUGUGAUUUUUAUUAUUUAUUUUUAUUUGUGGCAUUAUAAAUAAAUUAUAAAUGUUUCAUUAAAAA
ensembl:lincRNA